CUCAUCUGUUAUACUGAAGUUUAGCAAUGUGUAAUCAGCUGUCUACAAAUAUAGAGAUUUACUGGAACCCAAGAAUUUGGAAGAAUGCCGCUGCCACACUCAUCUGGCAAGAUCCCACCUUGGGCCGCUGUGCAAGAAUUGAUCUAUCAAAUGCCAUCAUUGACUCACCAGUUUAUAAUCAUAUGUGAAUGUCCAUCAAAGAAAAAAGUCCAAACAGAAGGAGGCAGCACUCUGUCAAAGGAUGGUCG